ensembl:miRNA mir18c microRNA 18c
UUUUAAUAUGGUCUUCCUGCUAAGGUGCAUCUUGUGUAGUUAGUGAAGUAGUAUAGUAUCUACUGCGCUAGAUGCUCCUUUUGGCAGGAGGAGCUGUAUA